UUGUAAAGCCCUGAUCAAACGAGAACGCAAGUCAUCGCAAGUUUUAAGUUGCACUUGCUUGCGUCUCGUUUGACCACCAACUUGCGUUGACUUGCGAUGACUUGCGAAUGAUUUGAGCUGGUUCAAACUUCAUCGCAAGCUUUUUUAAACUUGCGAGCACUUGCGAUACGUUUGAUCAAGAAGUGCAAGUUCAAGCAAGUUUUU